rnacentral:rRNA from 1 species
UACGUAGGGUGCGAGCGUUAAUCGGAAUUACUGGGCGUAAAGCGUGCGCAGGCGGUUUUGUAAGCCAGAUGUGAAAGCCCCGGGCUUAACCUGGGAAUGGCAUUUGGGACUGCAAGGCUUGAGUGCGGCAGAGGAGACUGGAAUUCCUGGUGUAGCAGUGAAAUGCGCAGAUAUCAGGAGGAACACCGAUGGCGAAGGCAGGUCUCUGGGCAUUAACUGACGCUCAUGCACGAAAGCGUGGGGAGCAAACAGG